rnacentral:rRNA from 1 species
CGCGUGAGAAUUCACCUUUAGGGAGGGGAUAACAAUUAGAAAUGAUUGCUAAUACCGUAUAUGCUUAUGUAGUGAAAGGAGUAAUCCCCCUAGAGAGAAGCUCGCGUCUGAUUAGCUAGUUGGUAAGGUAAUGGCUUACAAAGGCGACGAUCAGUAGCUGGUUUGAGAGAGCGAUCAGCCACACUGGAACUGAGACACGGUCCAGACUCCUACGGGAGGCAGCAGUGGGGAAUUUUCCGCAAUGGGCGAAAGCCUGACGGAGCAAUACCGCGUGAGGGAUGAAAGCCUAUGGGUUGUAAA